UAAAAAGGGGACGGGGCUGUCCCGCCCUGUUUUCCUGUUUCAAUUAAAAUGACGUCAACACAUAGAAUAACGCUGCUACGCACCUUAAAAACCCGCCAAUAAACCCAGAGAAGAAGAAGAAGAACGCUGCGUGUGUCAAAGCAUUUUAGGGGACCUUUAAGGUUUAUAACAUCAUUAAUCAAUCCAAAUCCUAUUACUCUUCUAACCCUCGCGUUCCUGGACAUGAUGCUGAGUGCUGUGCUGUGACGCAUCUCCAACACUAGAGAGCAGAACUGCAACAGCUCUUUGACAGCUAUUUGACUUGCUGAAAUGGGGUCCUACAGGACCAAAGCCUGCUCAUGUAACAGUCUCUCCCUUAUAUGGAAGCCCACCUUGGCCCAUUCGUGCUCCGGUCAGAGCCCCUUUAUCAGUGCCGAAGUCCAGCUCUCUACACACCAAACUGGAGGACGGCAGGUUCCAGCGAUCGUCACAGACAAACACAUACUCACUCCCCUUCAGGACCUUCACACGACCCUCACCUGUCUUUGCCCCACCCUUCAGACGCACCUGAGACUGGAGAAUGAGAAGGAGCAUGGCCACCGGAAGCCAUAAUUUACAGGUUCAUACUUGGCACUGUGCGACCAGCUUAGUGCCUCCAUAAACCCUAGAUGGCGUCAGAGAACAUGAGUGUUGGCCAAGGUGAAGUCGUCAUCACAUUACAUCUCUUCUUUGUAAAACACUUCCACUCUCCCUUCGUUGUGCUUGCUAUCCCACAAUCCUCCUCUCAGCAUGGCUUGAAAGUGUGAGAGAAGAAGAGAGCAAGAUAAACUGUAAAAGAGAGUGUGAAUAUAUGUUAAUGUAUAUAAAUUAAUUUGCAGGGUUAAAAUGUGCAUGUAAUUACACUAAAAUAAAGCAAAUAUCGCUUAAAUCUUCA
ensembl:lncRNA